GCAUUCUAGAGUCUUGAAUAAGGCGCUAUCCACGCUGAAGAACUGUCUGUCUGUGGUAGGCGGCGCACCGGCUGCUGAGUGCUGAUGUUCUUGCAGCGUUUCAACGGUAAAUCUGGGUCUCAGCGCGCGCAGUCAUUGCUGUCACAACAACCGCGCGUGCAGUUGUGAGAGAGGGUCAUUCCCGCCGGCGGGAAACUGUCUUAACACCUGCAUCGGAUGUUGACAGCUGACUGAACAUUUUUACCUCAGAAAACAACGCGGGAACACACCUACUCAGUUCACCAGCACGACUUGAUAAACAUUUCAUUGAACGCAAAACGAGACCUAUGACACACUGUUGAAGGAUGAACUCGUCGGCUGGAGUGGGGAAUUACCGAAGGGGUUCAACCAGUGGUGAUAAGGGAGGUGGUCAAGCAGAACUCAAUCAAGACAGACUCAGGUAGCCUUCGUAGGCCUGUGGGGAAAUAUCCUGGUAGACAGUGGCUUGUUGCCUCUGUGAAUUUGUAUGGAGCAUCUUCAAUCAUUCACGGUCAAUGUCCCUCCAUGUCCAUGGCCAGACCUUCAAACAAUUAGUCAAAAACACAAGAAUGUUGGGAAUUGUGUUUGGAAUUGAAUGCUAAGAUGAUCCAUUAACUUCAUCGAUAUGUCUUGCAUCUUUUAUGACAUGCGAAAAUGUAGAUGUUACAAGCUAUUUCAAAAUAUAACUUCAUACACUUGUACUAACUUAAACUGUGUGCUCUUCAGAUUUGUCUAAUGAUUGUGUUAUUACCUAAACUGGGUGCCAAACAAGCCUGCCUGCCGCGUGGCAUCUAAUAACUCCCAUAAUUUGUGUCCAUACUUGGCUCUGCCUGGGAAUUUACAAUCACUGAAUAAUUAAGAAUCACAUAUAGCUCAAUCUUAACUAUUGAUCCAACAUUCAGUUUUUCUGCACUUU
rnacentral:lncRNA from 1 species